UUAAAUUUUGUAUAAAAAUAUUUUUGUUAACUUCCGCAAGAAUUAGAGCUAUAUUUUAUCUAAGAAGACACCCAGUAAUAAUAAUAGUUUUAAUUAUUUCUCAGACUAUAAUUUUAUGCAUCACUGUAUGAUUUUUUAUAAAAACUAGAUGAUUUUCCUAUAUUUUAUUCCUAAUUUUUUUGGGGGGGUUAAUAGUUUUGUUUAUUUAUAUCACUAGCCUAGCAUCAAAUGAGUUAAUUAGAUUAAAAAUAGUCACCCUCCCUAAUAGUAUUUUUAUCCCCAUAAUUUUGGUAUUCUUUAUAAUUAUAAAUGUAGACUUCCAAGAAUUUAAAGAAUCAAGAACAAGAUUCCUUAUAACAAAAACAUUUAAUUUCCUUUAUAGAUGAAACAACUGCAUUCUUUUAACCACUUCUAUACUUUAUUUAUUUUUAACCCUAGUGAUUGUAGUAAAAAUUUCUAAUAAAUUUGAGGCCCCUCUCAAAACCCUCUCACACUUUUUAAAAUAAUGAUAGCAGAACGGAAAAUACACCCUCUUUUUAAAAUUGCCAAUAAUGCUUUAGUAGAUCUUCCUGCCCCAAUUAAUAUUUCAGCCUGGUGAAAUUUUGGGUCUCUUCUAGGAUUAUGCCUAGUGACCCAAAUUAUCACAGGCUUAUUCUUAGCAAUACAUUACACAGCAGAUGUAACCAUCUCAUUCAAUACAGUAGCUCAUAUUACCCGAGACGUAAACUACGGAUGGCUUCUACGAGUCAUACACGCCAAUGGAGCCUCUAUAUUCUUCAUUGCCCUGUACCUCCAUGUAGGAUGAGGGAUCUACUAUUCAUCGUAUACUUAUACAAUGACUUGAACGAUAGGAGUAUUAAUCUUAUUUUUAGUAAUAGCAACUGCUUUCAUAGGGUAUGUAUUAAUCUGAGGACAAAUGUCAUUUUGAGCCGCCACAGUAAUUACAAAUUUAUUGUCAGCAAUCCCUUAUAUAGGUUUAAUAUUAGUACAGUGAAUUUGGGGGGGUUCGCGGUAGAUAACGCUACACUCACGCGAUUUUUUGCAUUCCACUUUGUUCUACCAUUCAUUAUCGCCGGAAUAACAUUAGUGCACCUUCUAUUUUUACAUCAAACAGGAUCAAAUAACCCCCUAGGAGUUAAUUCCAACUCAGAUAGGAUCCCCUUUCACCCAUAUUAUUCAUUUAAAGACUUAUUUGGAUUUAUUAUGCUUAUAUGAGGAUUAGUAUCGCUAGCUUUAAUACACCCCUAUCUUCUAGGAGACACAGAAAAUUUUAUCCCUGCAAAUCCUUUAGUUACCCCCGUUCAUAUCCAACCUGAAUGAUAUUUUUUGUUCGCUUACGCUAUCCUUCGGUCGAUCCCUAAUAAAUUAGGAGGGGCUGCUGCUCUAGUAGUAUCUAUUGCCAUUUUAUUAAUUUUACCUAUUACUCAAAAAAUAAAUUUAAAAGAACUCAAUUUAAUCCUUUUAAUCAAAUAAAUUUUUGAUUAAUGAUUAAUAUUGUAAUCUUAUUAACUUGAAUUGGAGCCCGACCGGCCGAAGACCCCUAUAUUCUUGUAGGGCAAAUCUUAACUUUAAUAUAUUUUUUAUAUUUUUUGACAAGACCUUUAAUCACUUUAACCUGAGAAAAAAUUCUUAAAUAAUGUAAAUAA